rnacentral:rRNA from 1 species
GAUGAACGCUGGCGGCGUGCCUAAUACAUGCAAGUCGAGCGAACGGACGAGAAGCUUGCUUCUCUGAUGUUAGCGGCGGACGGGUGAGUAACACGUGGAUAACCUACCUAUAAGACUGGGAUAACUUCGGGAAACCGGAGCUAAUACCGGAUAAUAUUUUGAACCGCAUGGUUCAAAAGUGAAAGACGGUCUUGCUGUCACUUAUAGAUGGAUCCGCGCUGCAUUAGCUAGUUGGUAAGGUAACGGCUUACCAAGGCAACGAUGCAUAGCCGACCUGAGAGGGUGAUCGGCCACACUGGAACUGAGACACGGUCCAGACUCCUACGGGAGGCAGCAGUAGGGAAUCUCCCGCAAAGGGCGAAAGCCUGACGGAGCAACGCCGCGUGAGUGAUGAAGGUCUUCGGAUCGUAAAACUCUGUUAUUAGGGAAGAACAUAUGUGUAAGUAACUGUGCACAUCUUGACGGUACCUAAUCAGAAAGCCACGGCUAACUACGUG